CCCUUAGAUGUUCUGGGCUGCACGCGCGCUACACUGAAGCGUUCGACGAGUAUUCACCUUGCCCGGGAGGGUUGGGUAAUCUUUUUAAAACGCUUCGUGAUGGGGAUAGAUUAUUGCAAUUAUUAAUCUUCAACGAGGAAUUCCUAGUAAGCGCGAGUCAUCAGCUCGUGCUGAUUACGUCCCUGCCCUUUGUACACACCGCCCGUCGCUCCUACCGAUUGAAUGACUCGGUGAAAAAUUGGGACCGUGAGUCUGUUUGCUUCAUUGCGAGUGGAUUGAUGGGAACUUUUUUAAACCUCGCCAUUUAGAGGAAGGUGAAGUCGUAACA
rnacentral:rRNA from 1 species